ACAGCAAGACUCUUCAUGGAAAUCAUUAAAGACUCAAUGAAUCUUACAGAUACCAUAAUGACACAGAACAGGUAGUGACAUGGUCACGUAUAUGGCACUGAGGAAUCCCCUCCAUUAUGUUCAGUUCAGUCAGUCAACGUGUGACAAAAAUAUAUAACUGUGGCUGCAAAUGCUGGAAUUCUGCUACGCUGAUGCCUGUUCUUAUCUGAUGCCCAGCCCAUCCUGCCCACUGGAGUGCCAGCAGACACAGCACAGUGCCUCACCAGAGGCUGCAAAUUCCCUGGCAAAUUGCAGUUGGGAACCUGUGUAGCCAGGAGCACUUGGAAUAAGAGCUUGGACAAGGAAACUUGACCCUCUCUGAACCUGGGAGAAACUUUUCUGGCAAGAAAAGCCAAGUUUGGCUGCUUUGUGUCUCAAACAUGUGAGAUGGCUACAACAGGAAGAGUAUCAAUGUCACCUUAAAAAGCUCCUCAUCUGCUAAGAAGAAAAAAAGAUUAUUAGAACUGACAUAGGACUUGGCUUUUCAAAGCUGUUAUA